ACCCCUUCCCAGACCUCAUUUAAGAGUUGGCAGUGGAGGCAAAUGUAUUUUGCUGGUGAUCUCUGCAUGCUUGAGGUCUUCAAAAGGCAUUCUCAGAUGAUAAGCACCCAGUGGGAUGUGUUUACUCCAGUCUUCAAACCCCCACUGGAUUGGGAUGCCACACGGAAGAGAUUUCCAGGAGAGCCUUAAUUCCCACAGCUUUUUGUUGCCUCUCAGGAAGCCUCCACGUCCUGAAAAAUAGGGAUGGCAUCAGCAUCUCCUGUCCUCAUACAGCAGUGAGCAGGCAGAAUCCCUGAUGUGAACUCUGUGCCUGCUGCCAGCUCAGAUUCCAACCAAGUCUGCUUUGAAGCCUUCAGGGAAGGGGCAGGUUAAUGUUGCAGUCUCCUGAACUCAAUCUCCAUUGGGUUUUUUUUUUGACCCUCACUGCCAUGUCCCCCAAACCUGCAGAAGAGGGAUCAGCAUCACAAAACUCCUGAGGUGUGAGAAUAAGAAUCCCAUGUUCUUCUCCCAUGGAAGGGGAAGCUGAAGCAGAGGCUGUGAGGAUUGCUUGCACUGACAUUGGGCAGACAUAAGAGUAAGGAAAGGAGGGCAGAAAUUAAAUGUAUAUGCUAUUGGCAAACCACACCAAUGCAGAGGAAAACAUGAUUGGAAGAGAAAACAAAGACGGACACCUGUAUGUCGGUGCUGCUGAGGUGCCACGUUGUGUUGAAUGACCUGCUUCAGUGAGAAGGCCAAAACGAAAUGUAAUAGUGGAAGGACACCCAAAAAAAUGGGAUUCAAAGAGCAUUGGAGGAGUUUUCUUCAAUAUUUUUUUUCCAAGUGAUAAUUAUUAAUUGCAGAGAUGAAAUGGGGAAACUAAAAGUAACAGAAAUGAUAGCAGGUUCCCCUUUCCAAAGCAAAACAAAACAGAGUAUUGAGAAAAAGAGAGAAAAUGCCAAUGGUCUUUGAAGAUUGAGAAGGGAAAAAGGUGUGUUUGCAAGGACACGGUGUGAAAUGUUUGUCAUAAACUCAAAGACUGAAUGUGUUUGGGGAAGAACUCUUCAUAGGUUUCUAUCACUGUGUGCCGUGCUGUUGUAACUGACCAUUUCUGGGGUUGGAAGAGGGGUGACAAUAGGUUACAUGUGAUGAAAAGGCUCCCAGACGUGAUGGGAAGAGAAGUUUUAAAUUAUCUUUCAAAGAUUCAGAGACAUUUGAGGGCAUUUCCUUUACUAGCAGUUUUAUUUUGGUAAGCACAGAGUAAUGAGAUCAGAUUGAGGGUAUUUUGUUUCUGUGUGCCUGUGCUGUCUCCCCACAUGAACAAAAAGCAUUACAAAGGAAGUAGCAAUAUUACAGCUUUGUGGUAAGAAAUAACAUCUUGAAUUCAGAUGCCAACAGCAUCCUUUCACAUCAGAGCUGAUCAACAAAAAGAACACGGCCAGGAUUAAUUGGCUGUCGUGGGAGGCUAAUGACUGCAGGAAGGAAAGCGCUGUCAGAGCUGCUAGCAGGAAAGUAAAAACCCC
ensembl:lncRNA